GCCCGCCGCAAUCCCCGCCUGCCCUCCGCAAUCCCCGCCCGCCAUGUGAGGCAUGCUGCAAGUCCAUCAAUCACCGGAUCAUCUCCAGCCGCCUCGCCCCCGCGGUCCUCCCCGAUGAGCACGCGCUCAUGCCCCGAUGGCGGGGCGGCGGAGGAGCCGUCGUGCUCGUGCGGCGCCGUGUCGGAGGCGUCCUCUGAGGAGUCGCCGCUCGGCAGCCCCAUGUCCAUACUCUCUCCAGGUUCACCUGCCGCGACGGAGGCAGGACGGCGCAGCGCGUCGACCGGCCCGUGCGCGCGUCCCGCCGGAUCUCUGUCAGCACGCUCUCGAGCCGCUCGUCUAUGAAGGUACUUCGUCAGACCGUCCCCUUCUUUCCUUCCGGUGAGGUGGUGAGCAAUGGAGCCGGCAGCGACGGUGGAGCGGCCGGUGCAGCGCCUGGGGCCACCGGUGGAGCCCACCCCCACCGGCCCUCACGGCCUGUAGUGGCUGGACCGGUAUCCGACGCAGAUGGCGCUCAUCGAGUCGCUGCACGUCUUCAAGCCCGACCCGGCGCGUGACGGGGCGAGCCCCUCGGAGACCAUCGAGCGGGCCCUCGCGCGGGCGUUGGUCGACUACUACCCGCUGGCCGGCCGCCUCGCCGUUUCCGAGGGCGCCAGAGGCCUCCACGUCGACUGCAGCGCCGAGGGCGUCUGGUUUAUCGAGGCCGAUGUGUGGUGCCGCCUGGAGGACGUCGACUACCUCGAGUACCCGCUCCAGAUCCCCAAUGACGACCUGCUGCCGCACCCGCUGCCGAGGCCUACCCACGAGGAGGAGAGCAAGCUGAUCCUACUCGUCCAGGUGACAACGUUCGAGUGCGGCGGCUUCGUGGUGGGCUUCCGGUUCAGCCACGCGGUGGCGGACGGGCUCGGCGCGGCCAAGUUCAUGGGCGCGGUGGGGGAGCUGGCGCGCGGGGCGGACCGAGUCUCCGUGGCGCCCACCUCCCUGCUUUGAAGGAAAUUCAAACAACACUGCGUGAGGAAAUCAAAAGUGCUUGCGAAUACCGUCCAUUUGAAAAGUGUGAUUACAGCGCAAGGAUUGCUAAUGAGAUAUGUUGCAAGAAGCUGGAGUAUGUACUCGAGAAGUUGGAUACAAUGCAACAAUUGCUUUUCCCCUGCUGUUCUGUUAUUUUCUCAGUUCCCUUAUUUGGAACUUGAUAUGAUCAACAUGGAUCUGCUACUAUGAUUUUCUCAGUUCCCUUAAAAAUGGUAAAUGAAUAUCCUUGUGUUGUAGACACACUCAACAUUUGAGGAAAUGAUGUUUAGCAUUUAUUUGGCUGGAACUUACAUCAUGGAGUUCAGAAAAUAUACUAAAGAGCCGCGUGAGAGGAAACUAAAGGGUUCUGGCUUAAGUUGUAUCAGGGACACACAAACCAGAGAGCUUUCACACACUUUGAUUGUGAUGCGAGCCAAAGAGAUUCAUGAGUGGUCAAGAAGCCAGGAGUACAAGACUAUAAUGCAAAAAAUGCUUCAGGUGGGCUAAACAGAGCAAGCUUUCUGGUAUGGAGCUAAAUGGUACUCUGGGUUACUAAUUAUCGAGUCUAUAGGCUCUGAAUAAAAAUGUAUUGGUGUUCUUGGUGUUGCUAUUGCGGAUGAUCAAGUCCAUGCGCAUGCCGUUCUUCCCUGACAACGCGACCCAGGUGUCUAUCUCCACAACAUCUCCCCUAUCAAUGUCAAACAAGAGGAGCGCGUGAUUGUGAAACCCGAGCUGUGGAAUUCUUGAAACAAGUCCUUGGAACUUACAGCUUAAGAUAUAUUAAGGCUUCCCGUAUGCUUGGUGACCAAUUAGCACUUGCAUGGGUCGUCAAGUUUCAUCUACCAUCGGCUUUGGGAAAAUUUUCUAAGCAUGAAGCAUUUACUGGUGAAGUUAAUGGAACAUCUGUUCUCUUCUUGCCUUGUGCUGUUUAUAAUUGGACCUCGCCUGAGGGUGCUGGACAGUUUCAUGGUAUACCCUUGGAUGUUAAGGUUGUCCAUUUCAAAGGUUCAAGAAAGCGAUUGAUGCUUGAGGCAUGGAAUUUCUACAACUCAUUUUCAAUUCAUUUACUCUUCUUUUAAAUGAGCUUUCGGUUCCAUUUUAUGUACUAUAUAAGUAUGCUCAUAGAUGUGAAUGCACCCACAGCUAUAUGUGAUUAUCUGUUACUCCCUCUGCCCCGGUAUAUAAAGCGUAACCACAUAUAGUCUAAGACCAAGGACUGUAUUUAAUUCUCUCUCAACACUAGAACUACUGCAUCAAUAUAUAUUACGGGACUUGAAUAAGUGGUUAUGCCUUAUAUAUUAGGACAGAGGGAGUAGAAAUAAAUACCAUCCAGUUUUAUAUGAAAAGUAUGUACUAAGAGUAGAUAAUCAACGACUUGUAAGAAGGGCAUCUGGUCAUGCUUUGUUUAUGAUAUAUACAGAGGCUUUGGAAUUUCUCAGCUGGAAAGUUUCUGAAGACAUAUACCGGCCAUGUUAACACAAAGUACUGCAUCCCAGCGGCGUUUUCUAUCACAAAUAGCAAGUAUAUUGUCAGUGGCUCCGAAGACAAAUGUGUCUACCUAUGGGACCUCCAGUCAAGAAGAAUAGUGCAGAAACUGGAAGGCCAUACUGAUACUGUCAUUGCAGUCUCAUGUCAUCCCAAGGAAAACAUGAUCGCAUCCGGGGCGCUUGACAAUGACAAGACCGUGAAAGUUUGGGUCCAAAAGGAAGAAGAUUGAUGAGCUACCUGGUUACGCUCUUAUCUACAUUGGCUGUCAUGUGGACUGACUAAUGCUCGGCGAUGAUAUUAGUGAACUCAAGUGUUCUGUAGAGCUAUUCCUGGGAGGCUGGGAUCAUUUGUGCAUCGCGUUUGGAUUGUGCCCACAUAAACCCUGCCUAACCUGCGCAGCCCGGCCCGGCCAAGAUUAGGCAGCAGAUUGGGUCGCCGUCGCCUCGAUCUGGACGCUUGGGAGCCACUUGGUCAUGCAAGCAGCAAGCGAGAGUCAUCAAAGCCAAAUAUCGGUCACAGUCCACACGCUUUCGUUGCAUCCAGUCAAUGGCCUAAAUUUGGCCGUGCUGCUGCCGCGGGCCCGGGAUGGAGUAUACCCGGGAUUAUGGCUUAUGGAUCUCAUACUUGUGAAAGAAAAUGAGAAAUAUCUUUGCAUGUUGAGUAGGCUGUGUUGGGCUUAUCUGCUUACAGAUGAAUGGGCUACUUUUCUUUCUUUUAGUUGUACUAGGUGAGUGCCCCUGCGUUACGACGUAAGUAAAAAAUUAUAUGCAAUAUAUAUAGAGCUUAGUUGAUGUUUGAUUGUAGUGAACAAACGUAGCCACGUGAUAGAAUGUUUUAUAAUUACUUGUGUCAAUAGAGGGAACUUUUUUUAUUGAUUCAUUGGUACGUUACUUAAUUGAUGUAAUGGAUUUCAAUUGUAUCUUUUAGUCCAUAUAUUCAGUUAUCCUUCCAUGAUAGCUUCACCAUAUUAUUUC